GCCGAAGCGCGUCCCCGGCGCCGGCCCUCGGGUUUCCGGCGGCUGCCGCGCUGUCGGUGCGCCGCGGCGUCUCCGCCCUUCGCCUGGAGAAGAGCUGUAUGAGGCGCGAGAGUACUGCAGUUAAGCUUCGGGGAAAACCCUCCAGAUGUGGGCUGGAUUCCGAUCGCGUUACAGAUGAGGACGCUGAAGCCAGAGGGACUGUGACAGAAACGCUGGGCGGGCGUCGUGCAUGUCAUCCUCGGGCGGCUGGAGUACAGGGAGGAGACCGAGGCGCGAGCAAGUAACUUGCUGGGGGUCAUGCAGCCACGAGACGCGUGGGCUUCGAAUCCAGGUGGUUCUUCUCCAGAGACUGCUUUCUGACCCCUGUUGCAUCUCUUUCCUAAAAGAGUGUCAUAAAAAACAAUCACAACA